rnacentral:ncRNA from 1 species
ACAAUGAUACUUCCGUCCAGCCACAGCCCUGCAAAUGCAGGAUCACGCAAUGGGGGCGGCUGCAGGAGAACCCUGCAGGGGUUAAAAUCCCAUGA